rnacentral:rRNA from 1 species
CUCGGAUCAGGUAGGGAUACCCGCUGAACUUAAGCAUAUCAAUAAGCGGAGGAAAAGAAACCAACCGGGAUUGCCUCAGUAACGGCGAGUGAAGCGGCAAGAGCUCAAAUUUGAAAGCUGGCCCCCUCGGGGUCCGCGUUGUAAUUUGCAGAGGAUGCUUCGGGUGUGGCCCCCGUCUAAGUGCCCUGGAACGGGCCGUCAUAGAGGGUGAGAAUCCCGUCUGGGACGGGGUGUCCGCGCCCGUGUGAAGCUCCUUCGACGAGUCGAGUUGUUUGGGAAUGCAGCUCUAAAUGGGUGGUAAAUUUCAUCUAAAGCUAAAUACUGGCCGGAGACCGAUAGCGCACAAGUAGAGUGAUCGAAAGAUGAAAAGCACUUUGAAAAGAGAGUUAAAAAGCACGUGAAAUUGUUGAAAGGGAAGCGCUUGCGACCAGACUCGCCUCCGGGGUUCAGCCGGCCUUAGGGCCGGUGUACUUCCCCGGGGGCGGGCCAGCGUCGGUUUGGGCGGCCGGUCAAAGGCCCCUGGAAUGUAGUGCCCCCCGGGGCACCUUAUAGCCAGGGGUGCAAUGCGGCCUGCCCGGACCGAGGAACGCGCUCCGGCACGGACGCUGGCAUAAUGGUCGUAAACGACC